CCCUUAGAUGUUCUGGGCUGCACGCGCGCUACACUGAAGCGUUCAACGAGUAUUUCACCUUGCCCGGGAGGGUUGGGUAAUCUUUUUAAAACGCUUCGUGAUGGGGAUAGAUUAUUGCAAUUAUUAAUCUUCAACGAGGAAUUCCUAGUAAGCGCGAGUCAUCAGCUCGUGCUGAUUACGUCCCUGCCCUUUGUACACACCGCCCGUCGCACCUACCGAUUGAGUGAUCCGGUGAAUAAUUCGGACUGCAGCAGUGCUUGGUCCUCCGGGCUUUGCAGCGGAAAGUUUAGUGAACCUUAUCACUUAGAGGAAGGAGAAGUCGUAACA
rnacentral:rRNA from 1 species